GUCUUGCAGCAGGUGAGAGUCCAAAGGCUGAAGGAAGAAAAUAAACAGGUUACUGGAAGAGGCCUGGUAAUGACAGGAGCAAAUACACAACUAUUCACAGUAGGACACUCAAGCAAACUGCAGUGCUGACAUGCUGAUCACCAAGGAAUUGCUCAGGAGCCUCAGGGGAGGAACCAAAACCAGAUAAGACUUACCAUGAAAAUUCAAGGACCUUGUACACAUUUUGGGCAUGAUUUCUCCUGGACAAGUGACAAGCCUUUUCUGUGGCCAUAGGGUGUCAGCAUGGCAAGUUGGGCAUGUCCAAACUCUGAUCUUGGGAUGUGAUCUGGGAGUGAAUGAAGGUGAGGCUAUGAAUAUGAAUGAGUCAGUCCCUGGAGCCCUGGAAAAAGUUGAAGGUAACCUUGCAGGCACAAAGGACACAGUGUACUGACUGCCAUUCUGGAGUCUGCUGUUUUGGUACUCCCAGCUCAGUCUGAAGCACAGACUGCCAGAAAGCUGGCAAGAACUUCUCACAGAGCACUUCCCAGACUCUGCAGUAUCAGAGAUGCUUUUCUAAAGAAAACUACUGAACUGUGCCCAGUGCAACCCACUGCCUGACGUGCAAAGUGGAUGAACAGAGCCAUUACCAUGACAAUGCAGGACAGAGGCAGAGGGGUAGAACAGCCCUACAAGGCAAAGAGGAUCCCUCUCCUUGAGGAGCUUCCCAGCCAGUGAGGGAGCAUGCAGAUGUGCAGAGAACAUGAGACCUGGCUCCCAGCAGGGUGGUUUGGACCAUGGUGUCAGCAGCCCUGCUUCUCUCUCUGCCAUCUCUUUUUGAUGAGCCUAAGCUGCAAGGAUUGGAUCCCUGAUCUGCCAAGGGAUAGAUUGCAACAGGACCUGUUCUCUGUGUGUCACCUGUCAUAAGAGUGGCAGCCCCAGUCUGUGCCACUCCUCCCCAGCAGAGAUGGAGGCAGCAAGCAGGACUGUGCAUCUGUGCAACCUGCAGCAGAGCAGAAAACAAGUAGGCAAAAAUCUGACCCACGGGAAAAUGUUGGAUGUUUUUUAAACUAUUGAAAAAUGCUUUAUAAUAGUUCAUCUCUUGCUGAAGGCUUGCACUUUUGUGUUGUUUUGACGCCGCCUCUCACAGAGUUAAUGGAAUUCUGUUGGUUCCUGUCUCAGGGAGACGAAUGAAUUACCAGCGUAACUGAGUUUUCUUCAGUUCUGGGGUUUAUGGGCUCAGAUCUGUCAUUUCAUUCCAGCUAUGCCCAAUACAGAAUUCAAACCAGCAUGAUUUUGGAUGAAAGCUGGAGAACAAAGCUGGCUUUUUCCUCUAGCUGUCCUUCAGACCCUGAUCCCCUAGCAGAUCUCAGGUUGCACUCCCUCUAUCCUAAGCCAAAACAAAAAUAAUUAAAAACAUUGACCAUAUAAUGAACCAGAAAGAGCAAAGAUCUUAACUCUGGCUUGCCCAUACCUAAGAUAAAUGCUCUAAGAACUGGCCUGUCUGGAUGCUUCUGUAGAAUCUACAAGUCCUGGCUGUUGGUGGUGUGUUUGGGGGAGCAAGUGGUGUUAUGGUUUUAGGUUUUUGUUUUUGUUUGGGGUUUUUUGUUUGGUUUUUUUUUCCAUUUGUUUGGGUUUUUGUUUUGGUUUU